GACGAACGCUGGCGGCGUGCUUAACACAUGCAAGUCGAACGAUGGAGCCGGAGCUUGCUCUGGUGAAUUAGUGGCGAACGGGUGAGUAACACGUGAGUAACCUGCCCUUGACUCUGGGAUAACUGCGGGAAACUGUAGCUAAUACCGGAUACGACCCUCGGAGGCAUCUCCUGGGGGUGGAAAGAAUUUCGGUCAAGGAUGGACUCGCGGCCUAUCAGCUAGUUGGUGAGGUAAAGGCUGACCAAGGCGACGACGGUGAGCCGGCCUGAGAGGGUGACCGGCCACACUGGGACUGGGACACGGCCCAGACUCCUACGGGAGGCAGCAGUGGGGAAUAUUGCACAAUGGGCUCAAGCCUGAUGCAGCAACGCCGCGUGAGGGAUGACGGCCUUCGGGUUGUAAACCUCUUUUAGCAGGGAAGAAGCGAAAGUGACGGUACCUGCAGAAAAAGCACCGGCUAUCUACGUGCCAGCCGCCGCGGUAA
rnacentral:rRNA from 1 species